UCUCGAAUCGCUAUCGCGGUACUUUGAUGGCACACGUGACAGUCACGAGGCGUCGGCGCCGCCUCAAGUCGGACAAAAUUUCUAACCGGCAUGCACUGCUUCAAGUCAGAAUUUGAUCGAGCUGCGCAGCGCUGCGUUAAGUCGAACACACCUUUUUAGUCGGACGUGCUCUUUAGUCGGUUGUGCGUCUUACGUCAUCAACCCAGAACUAAAGUUCGAAUCAGUUCGACUCCUUCAAGAAUCGAACGUCACCAAACAAACUAUCGUUCCCGUCUCCCCUGGGCGAUGAGGAAACUUUGGGGCCAAAGCAACUGCUGGCGUUUGAAGCCGUCGGGCCCUCGUUCCCAUCGCCGGGCUUCAAAGCGGAUCUCGCCACAGAUGCACCGUUAACCUGGAGAUUUAAACAAGGAGUGUUUCUCCUCUUCUGCUCUACAUGAUCUGCUCAUGGAUUACUAUGUCGGUGGAGAUCCACAGACUCGAUUAUGUGCACAGAAACGACACAAGGGAGAGUCAGUGAUGACAGAAUUUUCAUUAUUUGUGAAGCACACAAUCUCAUUCUUUGCUUCAGAGUCUCCGGAGGAAGUCUUUCAGUCGCCCUUCACCUCGCUGUGGGUCCCGAUCAGCCCGCGUGUCGUCUGUCAAAUCUCCACGCGGGAGAAGAAAAAGACUCGGAAUGAGGGAGCGCCGCAUCCGAAUCCAUUCCCCGGGUAAUUCAUCUCCUGCUGCGUAAAAGAAAAAUGAGUGGAAAGAAAGUAAAUACGCUCCAUUCAGAGACAGAUGCAUCAUGGGAUGCGUGUUGUCUUCCUCUCCACUGCCUCAAUCAUCUGAACAGAAACCAUCCCGCACCCUAGACGCCCCGAUCAGAGGGAAUACAAUGAAAUAACGACAUUGGCCGUGACAUUUCGCUGUGAUUUUCAGAGGGAUAUUUAAUUGUGUUCAUCACGUAGAGCCGACGGGAGCGAAAGAUGCAGAUUCUGACCGGGAAGAAGCCAUUAGUCAAAUUACACACACCGUCUAGGUCUUUACAAAAAGCCAAUAUCUGACACCGGCCUCUUUUAUUGCAGAAAAAUGAUGGCAAUUCUAGCGUGACACAUUCAUUUCUUUGGUUCAGAUGGGCUGUAUAAAGGGGUUAGAGGAGGAAUUUCUUUGUCAUCGCAGAACAAAGCGAAAACAGACACAGCAGCAAUAAGGAAAUAUGAUAUUUUGUAAGAGGGAGUUUAACUAUAUGAUCACAGUGCCAUAUGGUUAGUUUAUAAGUCAAGUACUGAAUAUACAGCCUACACACACUGAAGGAAGGUCAUGGGAUCAAUAGUUGAGUUUUUG